GAGUAAAGAUUUCGGUCGCUUUGGGAGGAGCUCGCUUACUAUCAGCUUGUUGGUAGGGUAAUGGCCUACCAAGGCUAUGACGGUUAGGGGGUGUGAGAGCAUGACCCCCAGCAUUGGCACUGAAACACUGGCCAAACACCUACGGGUGGCUGCAGUCGAGAAUCUUCCACAAUGGGGGAAACCCUGAUGGAGCGAUGCUGCGUGCGGGAUGAAGGCCUUCGGGUUGUAAACCGCUUUUGUAGGGGACGAAAUUUUUGACGGUACCCUUUCGAAUAAGAGGUUGCUAACUCUGUGCCAGCAGCAGCGGUAAUACAGAGACCUCAAGCGUUAUCCGGAUUUACUGGGCGUAAAGCGUCUGUAGGGGGUUUAUUAAGUUCCAAGUAAAAUUUCAAGGCUCAACUUUGAAUUCGCUUGGAAAACUAAUAAACUGGAGUCUAGCAGAGGUGCAUGGAACUUGUGGUGUAGGAGUGAAAUCCGUUGAUAUCACAAGGAACACCAAAGGCGAAGGCAUUGCACUGGGCUAGCACUGACCCUGAGAGACGAAAGCGUGGGGAGCAAAACGGAUUAGAUACCCGUGUAGUCCACGCCCUAAACGAUGAAUGCUAAAUGUUCGGGGAUUCGACCCCCUGGGUGUUACAGCUAACGCGUUAAGCAUUCCGCCUGGGAAGUACGGCCGCAAGGCUAAAACUCAAAGGAAUAGACGGGGAUCCGCACAAGCGGUGGAGCGUCUGGUUUAAUUCGACAGUAAGCGUGGUACCUCACCAGGGUUUGACAUCCCUUGACAGCCUUGGAAACAAGGUUUCCUUCGGGCAAGGUGACAGGUGCUGCAUGGUCGUCGUCAGUUCGUGCCGUGAGGUGUUCCGUUAAGUCGGGAAACGAACGAAACCCCUAUUGCAUGUUACAAUUUCUCAUGCAAGACUGCCCGGAUAUACUGGGAGGAAGGUGGGGAUGACGUCAGAUCUGCAUGGUCCUUAUACCCUGGGCGACACAGGCGCUACAAUGGCAGAGACAAAGGGUUGCAAAACCGCAAGGCGAAGCUAAUCCCAAAAACUUUGUCUAAGUUCGGAUUGAAGGCUGCAAUUCGCCUUCAUGAAGCUGGAAUCGCUAGUAAUCGUGAAUCAGCCACGUCACGGUGAAUAUGUUCCCGGAUCUUGUACUCACCGCCCGUCACACCAAGAGAGUUGGUAGCUCCCGAAGCGUCCCGUUUUAGCGGGGCAUCACGGAGAGAUCAGCGAUAGGGGUGAAGUCGU
rnacentral:rRNA from 1 species